rfam:Myotis lucifugus cont2.33585, whole genome shotgun sequence.
GCCGGUUUGGCUCAGUGGAUAGAGCGUCGGUCUGCGGACCGAAAGGUCCCAGGUUCGAUUCCGGUCAAGGGCA